GUCUGCACCUGUCUCUGGCGACCCCGACCCCGGUCUGCACCUGCCUCUAACCAAAGUGUCCCAGUUCGUGUUAUGCUGCUGCAGCAGAACACCCGAGCCUGGCUGAUUUAUAGCGAGCAGAAAUGCGCUGGCUCGCAGCGUCAGGCUGGGAAGUUCAGUGUCAAGGUGCCGCGUCCGCGAGGGCCCUCCUGUUGCAGCGUCACGUGGCAGAAGAAAAGCUACAUGGGAAGACGAAUUAGAGUUGGAAGAUGGUUUGGUGAUCAUGAAAGCAAAGUGCCUGCCAGACGUCCGUUGUCUUAGACUGGGUUCCCCGGACACAGACUCGGAGACAAGGAUCCACAUGAAAGUGACUUUUCAGACUGUGUUACCAGGAAAGCUGGCAGAGUCUAGAGGCCUCCUGCAUUCCUUGGCUUGCGGC